AUACGGAGGGUGCGAGCGUUGUUCGGAAUUAUUGGGCGUAAAGCGCGUGUAGGCGGUCUUUUAAGUCUGAUGUGAAAGCCCCGGGCUCAACCCGGGAAGUGCAUUGGAUACUGGGAGACUUGAAUACGGGAGAGGGUAGUGGAAUUCCCAGUGUAGGAGUGAAAUCCGUAGAUAUUGGGAGGAACACCGGUGGCGAAGGCGGCUGCCUGGACCGAUACUGACGCUGAGACGCGAAAGCGUGGGGAGC
rnacentral:rRNA from 1 species